CGCAUUCCACGCUGUCUAGCAGUGUUUAAUACACGGUCAAAGGUCAGAUGUGUGUCCUCCUCGGCUAUGUUGUUGGCUGCUGAAGUGACUUUAUUUCACUGCUGAAGUGAGAUUAUGCAAUUUCAGCACAGUCGCCAAGUCAUCGUGGUUUACCUGAGGCAGACGAGCUCCACCGGUGAAGUGACGAGAAACGGCUGUCGUAUGAUGCCAGACCCUCUUCACAGAAGAGGCAGGGAAUCUUGUGAUUGGCCCUCAUCACCGCCACACUGAUGCAGGAAUCUGGCUUCCGUAUGAUCUCGCACCAUUCUGGAUAAUCUACUGGUUGUGGAUUGCUGUUGGGAUUGCAGUUAAUAUAUGAUCAGACAACAGAAAUCAGCAGAAUGAUGUGUCUCUGUGUCCCGCGACCCUGAGGGAGAAGUGGCUUAGAAAAUGUCUCUCAGUGUUUCUCCUGAAAUCAAGC